UGCCCGCAUCGACGAAAUUCCAUGGGCGCAAAAAAGGCUAUGCGAUUUCUUGACGACACUACACUUCGUUUGAGUGAAGUACAUAGCAAAGUUCAAGUGCUGCAUCAGACCGACAUGAAGAG
rnacentral:lncRNA from 1 species